rnacentral:rRNA from 1 species
AAUGGACGCAAGUCUGAACCAGCCAUGUCGCGUGCAGGAUGACUGCCCUAUGGGUUGUAAACUGCUUUUGUAUGGGAAGAAAGUGAGAUACGUGUAUCUCUUUGCCGGUACCAUACGAGUAAGGAUCGGCUAACUCCGGGCCAGCAGCCGCGGUAAUACGGAGGAUCCAAGCGUUAUCCGGAUUUAUUGGGUUUAAAGGGUGCGUAGGCGGUUUAAUAAGUCAGUGGUGAAAUCUUGCAGCUUAACUGUAAAAUUGCCAUUGAUACUGCUAGACUUGAGUAUAGUUGAGGUGGGCGGAAUGUGUUGUGUAGCGGUGAACUGCAUAGAUAUAACACAGAACACCAAUUGCGAAGGCAGCUCACUAAGCCGACACUGACGCUGAGGCACGAAAGCGUGGGGAUCGAA